ensembl:lncRNA
CGGGUUUCCAGUGAACUAAGAGAACGCUGCAGGCUCAGCGGCCACAACCGUGUUAAACCAUUUCCACACCAAUCCAACGUCUGUCCCCUCAGUCCAGUGCCAGUGUUCAGGCCAUUGCAGGAAGUCUUGUGUACUGUGUGCUCAGGUGGAAAGUCAAGGUGUGGAGGUCUGGGUGUUGGACGGGUGUGAAGUGAUUCUGACUUUCAUUUAAUCACAAGAAAGAAAAGAAAACCACAAGAUAUGUAUCACAUUGACAGAAAUGCACGAUGGCUGGUGGUUAACGUUGUCAACCGAUUGGUCAGGUUGAGGCAACACACCUACUUGCUUAAGGUCACGACAGGAGAAAGUCAACUCGUUCUUGGUGAUUGCAGUGAGCAAUCUAGAAGCACUUAAGGAUCUUCUCCUCUGCUUUCCACACAAACGACUGUUUCAGCUCCCGGCUGGCAGGUGUUGCAAGUGGAUAAAGGAGGGAAAACCUCAAAGUGGCACUUCAGGUGGAGGUUAAGUCUCGCAUCAAACAGAGCGGUGUGGGAGCUUUAUACUCAUGCCAAAAAAUUAUAACUCACAAGUACAAAAAAACAUUGCAACAGGUAACAGGGAGUUCAACCAGAUGCUCUUUAGAAAUACAGUAGAUUUGUCUCCAUAUCUGGUAUAUUACACUUCUCAUGCACUGAUUUGACACCAUACUUAUACAUGUGUUAAACCAACUAAUUACUACAGCUUGUUGCUGUCAAAUUGGUGUGACAUCAGUGUAUUAAUUCAUCCAGCAGAGAUGUGACAUGAUGGAUGAGUGAAGGGACAUGAGGUUACAGAGCAUCAGGUCCUGUGUACAAGUAGUCCUGACUGUCCUCAUUAAGGGCUCCAUCCUUAUAGCCUCAAUCCCUUUCUUGAACCUUGUCCCUAAAAUAAAAAUACAA